GUCAGAGGGUUUUAGGAGCGCUACUGUAAUGACAGCUCAAAGCUGUCCACGUCAACACUGAGCUGCCACAAUGGACUCCGCGGCUUUGGAACCAUCGCUGUACACAGUGAAGACCAUCUUCAUCUUAGACAAUGAUGGAAACAGACUGCUUUCAAAGUACUAUGAUCCAGAGCUCUACCCCUCCAUUAAGGAGCAGAUGAAUUUUGAAAAGAACGUCUUCAACAAAACGCAUAAGGCCGACAAUGAGAUUGCCUUCAUAGAGGGAAUGACGAUAGUCUACAAGAGCAGCAUAGACUUGUUCUUCUAUGUAGUUGGCAGUGCUCAGGAGAAUGAGCUCAUGCUCAUGGCAGUGCUGAAUUGCUUGUUUGAGUCUAUCAGUCAGAUGCUCAGGAAAAACGUGGAAAAGAGAACUCUGUUGGAUAAUAUGGAUGGGGUUUUCCUGGUGGUGGAUGAGAUCAUCGACGGAGGGGUGAUACUGGAGAGUGACCCCCAACAGGUCAUUGAGAAGGUCAACUACAGGUGUGGGACGGAGCAGGCCUUUGGCUUCGUUCUUUUCGAUUACAUCACUGGUAACAUGGAGGGCCAAGAAGAGAAGCGACAGCUCUUGUAGUUCUCCUUCAGCCCCCCUCCCUCUCUCCCCUCAAUUUAGUGAUGAUGGCGAGAGAGAGAGAAGGUUGAGGAUGAGAGAGUGGGCAGGUAGAUGACAAUCCUUUAUCAGAACAGAGUGUGGCACAGGUGUUACAUUCAGCAAAGGAGCAGAUCAAAUGGUCAAUUCUGAAAUAGGUCAAAUACUUUUCAUGCAGGCAUCUGUAAAUUAUUAAAAGGGAAUUUUGAAGAAAUGUCAUUUUUAUUUCAAUGAUGUUGUUGAUGUAAUGAAUUAUAGAAAUAAAUAAGAUCAUCUGCAGCUCAUGUUUAGUGUUAAGUUUGAAUAUUAUAUAUAUUUUUGUCAUAUUAAAGAAGGCCACUUUUCUCUUUUUUUAUGAUAUGAACAGUAGAAACAUAUUUGCCAUUACAAUUUUGAAUGAAAUAUCAGCUCUGUAAUACACAAAUAUUUGUCUAUUUCCAAAGCAGUUUAAAGCAAUUGUGUGUUUUCAUUUUUUUAGCAAACCUGCAUAUGCUGUCUAUGGAUACACAUUUUAUUUUACACUGUCAGAGAGAUACAGUCACAGAUCAAAGCGUGCAAAUAGUCUUUUCUGUCAUAUUUAUUAAUCACAAUUGUAAUCACAACCUUUUGUCAAUAAAAUGCAGAGCUCUGUUACACUACAGUUAUAAUCAGGCCUAUUUUGCUAUUUUAUAAAUGUUCGUUUAUUGUUUAAAUGAGAAAGAGGCAAUAUUAUGAGAUAAUAACAUGUAGCUGAAAUAAUAAUAUGAAUAGAUUUUUAUUUUUAUUUUGAUGCUACAUUAUAACCGAAAGUAAUAUAUGUUUGAAUGUGUAUUGCCUAUUUACAUGUAAAACUGUGUAAACUCAUUUACGCCGAACGUGUUUAAUUUAUUAUAAACAUGUUUUGAAAUAAUUAUGCACAAACGUGCAUCAUGUCACUGACAAGUAAUAAAUAUGUUUUUAUAGCA